UACGAAGGGUGCUAGCGUUGUUCGGAAUCACUGGGCGUAAAGCGCGCGUAGGCGGCGAUUCAAGUCAGAGGUGAAAGCCCGGGGCUCAACCCCGGAAUUGCCUUUGAAACUGUAUUGCUAGAGUGUCGGAGGGGAUAGCGGAAUUCCUAAUGUAGAGGUGAAAUUCGUAGAUAUUAGGAGGAACACCGGUGGCGAAGGCGGCUAUCUGGACGACAACUGACGCUGAGGCGCGAAAGCGAGGGGAUCAAACAGG
rnacentral:rRNA from 1 species